AAAUAGUCAUUUUUUUAAUCAUGUACUUUUAAUCUUUGACGCACUUUAUGACGAAAAGUUAAUAAUCAUCAAAUCAAGAAAUGUUGGGUUAUAAAAACUACAAGUAUGAACAAUGUAUGGACACAAACAUUUUAUUUAUUCAAACUUUUUUAAACAGUAUUUCUAACUGCUUGAAUUAUUAUUUUACAUUUAUCUAACGUCUACUUACACAAAUCAAUGUCACAUAUUUCGGUGACAAUUUAAAAAAGACCCAUCGCAUGUACUACAGAGUAACUUAAAAAUAACAGAUUACAUUCUGAUGGAGAUUUAAAAUACAGCAUGAACAAAUUCCUUUUCUGUUAUCACAGAAAGAAUAUUAAUACCAAUUUUACAAAAUAAAAUUGUUAUGCUUUUAUGUUCAUAUUUUCAUGAAUGAUUUUUGGACAUGAGUGCUAUCAGCAACUUCGCAAGUCAUAACAGGGACAUAAACUUAGCUUGAAGCUCUGUCCAAAUUUUCUUUGACAAAAAAAAAAAAAACCUGUUGUAUGCCCAUAUAUAGUCAAGAUAUGCCUAUAUGUGGUCAUGAUGUGAUGUCUUCAUGACCAUAUUUAGGAAUGUCCUUGUUUUUUCUCAACAAAAACUUGAUAGUCGGGACAAGGCCUCAGAUUCCUUUUAGCUUGUCUACUAAAACUAUAAAUUUUUUGUCAAGAUUGCCUUUGACAAAAAAAACCUGUUGUAUGCCCAUAUAUAGUCAUGAUGUGCCUAUAUAUGGAUUUUGUCACAUAAAAUGUGAGUGGUCUGAACAGGGGUUUAGAUUCCUUUGUAAAGCUUGUCUGCCGAGAAUUUUCUUCAGGUUAACUAUGGCUUGGUGUACAGUAUAGAAAAGAACCGUAUGCUAAAUUGUACAUCAAUCAUAUUAUAAACAUACAAUAGUAUGAAAAAAAAUAAAUAAAUAACAAAAAAUACAGCCUCUUCCAAAAACUUAAAAAAAAACUCACAUUUCAUCAUUAGACCACUUUAAAAUUAAUUUCCUUUUACAUUUUAAUGUACAUGGACAAAAGAAAGUUGAUCUUAAAUUAGAAGAAUUGGUGCAAUAUGUAACUAAAAGAAACACCAGUACAAAAAGUCAUGAUUGUACUAUGACAGCUUUACUUUACAGGAUGCCUAUUAAUAAUACCAUCAAACAUUUAAACUAUGAGUUUGACAGACGGCCAUUUUGAUUUUGUAAAGUUUGCCACCUUCUGCCUAAUCCCUCGUCCAAUUAAAAUUGUACAAACAAUAUGAUUCAAUGGUUGAAAAACAAUAUAUUCAUGACAGAAAAUACAUUCUUAUACUCGAUGUGAUAAUAUUAAUUAAAUCAUUAAAACUUUAUCAUAAAAAUAUUUGAAUACUGGGUAUAUAUUAAAUUGUCAAAUGUUUUUAGUUUUUUUCCGAAUGAUUCUAAAAAUUCAGUUAUGUAGAAGGCAACUAAUUUUCCACCUAUAAAUAUUAAUAUAAGGAUUUACAAUGGGUAAAGGAUUGUUUGUUCUAUCUAUUCUAUAUUUACAACACAUGAUUAAUUUAUUCAUACAAACCGAAGAUUAAUGCUGUAGGGCAUAAUUAUUAACACAAUGAUGCAUAUCCACUAUCCAAGUUUUUGUAUGUUAGACUUGACAUUGUUUGAAUGUUAUCAAUUUGCAAAUAAACAAGGAUGGGCACAUACUGGGCACAUACUCUAGUCUCCAUUCUCUGUUAGCUUAACAAUGCAACACCAGCUUUUUUGCAUUGUGCUUUUCAUGGAAUCCGUGUAGCGUGUGCCUGGUAUAAUAGACUGACUCAUUUUUUUUUAUCAGAUAUAUCUGGCACAAGCAUACAAAAUAGGAUAAAGUCUGAUCAGAUAUUUUCUGAAUCUGAUGGCAUAGGCCCAGCAUUAAAGUAGUUCAUCCAGUUCAAAGUUCAUCACUGACUGAAUCAAUUUGCUUGAUCAGAUAUAUAUGGUACAAGCAUACACUAUUUGAUAAAGUCUGAUCAAACAGAGACAAAAAUCUGAUAUCAUAUGCCCAGCUUUAAAAGCAAUUCCAAUUUUUUUCCAGUUAAAAGUUCAAAGUUCAUCAAUCAAUGGAUUUUUUUGAUCAGACACAUAUGGUACAAGGAUACACUAUCAGAUAAAGUCAAAUCAAACAUUUUCUGAAUCUGACAGACAAAUAUCUUACGGCAUAUGCCCUGCUUUAAAGCAGUUCAAAGUUCAUCACUCUUUAAAUUCAAUUGAUAACUCAAGAUAAAAAUGAACAUUUGUUUGCCUCUUCAUGCCCACUUCAGUUCUAAUAUCUAAAUUGUUUGAAAUAAAAAUCACUAUCAAUUCAUUUUGGCUAAAAUUCAUCCAUUUAGUGUAAAAAUAUCUGACAAUUUUCUAUUAACACAUACCAACAUGGUUCAAUUAAAGUUGAUAAAAAUCACCCAGUAUACAUUUAUGAAGACAUUGUAUCCCUGCUUAGAGCGUAGGCAACUUUCAAAAUGAGAUCUUUAACAGAUCUGAAAAGACAAGUACAGUACUACAAAUAAAUUGCGAUGGUUUUGUCUCAUAACGUUAAGACACGCCAAAGGCCAUGUAGAAUUCUGAAGAACACAGUUUUUCGAACUCUAGGUUAAAAAUGCUCUUAGGUCAAUUACACGGUCAAGCAGAGAAUAACUGGAUAUUUUUAGAUUUGUUUUAAAAAUUUAGAUGAUUUCCAAAUCCAAAUAUCAGAAAAUUUUAGGCUCUGAUGUAAUAUAAAUGCAAUCUCUUUGUUGUAGGCUAUAAUGAACAAACUUAGAUUUCUUAACUAAAGUAUACAUUAGCAGCUACAAUUUGAUCAUAUUGUUUUAUGCUCUGAUCUGUCUAAUAAAAGAUUUUUUCCCCUCAUAGAAAUGUAGGCCGAUUUAAGAACACAAACAUGAGUAGCCUGCAUUUCUCAAAUUAGCAGCAACAAUUUAAUAAAUUUUAAAGGUAUUGAAGAUUACGGAUGGUGGCUUCUUAAUAUAUGGACAAUUAUGGUAGAAUCUAAAUUUAGUGCUACUAACACUGGAAUUUAUUAUCCCCACGAUCCAUUUGCCUUCUUAAAUUAACAUUAUGUAUCCUCCUUGUUAUGUACUAAUGUGGGGGCCUAUGUCAAAUGUUUGACCUAUGUAACAUUGCUAUGAAACUAUGCAAGGCAGCUGCCUUAUGGGUAGCAGACUAUAAAUUCAAAGAAGUCCAGUACCACCAGCAUUUAAAUCACUUAGCCACGUUUCUGUCCUACAACCAACCAAGUACAUAUUUUAUUUCUGCCUGUACUCCAGUAAUAACUCACUACGGAGAAAAACACAGCAAUUUAAUGAGCCAAGUAUGACAUUUAUUUUCGUUUAAUGAGCAAUAUCAUUUUUUUAUUUUUGCUUUCUUUAAUUGCUGAUGUAUAUAAAUACAUUCCUGGAGCUCCGGAGCCUGAUCUUUGGCCGUCUAUGGAUUUUAUGUGCAACUUUCGCUUUCAAUUACAAGCUAUUUAUACAUCAUAAUUACUCGUUUUAAUCAUGUGCAAGACUACGUUCGGUACAGUACUUCUCUCUGGAGGCCGCGUGUUCAGUGAUAUGCGCAGAUAAAUCUUAAUAUUCUGUUCAAACCCUGUAAUAAUGUAAAUAUCAUAUCCAUAACACUGGUACUGAGGUGAGGUUUGAAUAAAGAAUUUGAGGCCUUUCUUUCUCUCUACUAUAUUCAACAGUGCUAUAGUAAAUUUACUUCCUAUAAACAUGAAAUUAUAUUAUUAUAUUAUGAUAUUAUUGUUGUUAUGAAUAUUACGGUUCAAAAGAUAAGUUCACCCAUAGAAAGCGUGGCAGGGCCUGAAUCAAAAUUAAAGUUUUCUCAAUUAUUUAGAAAAUCUAAUUUCUUAAUCUGUAUGGAUGAGUCAUAUAUUUUUCUUAGGAUGAGUUAUGGUUGAAGAACCAAGUGUAUCACUAGCAGAUAUGGCACUGAAGAGCGGUGUUCAUAUCAAGGCAAAAAUGACAGGGUCCAAAUCAAUAUUUUAUUCACUAUUGAAAUCUAUUUUUCAGUAUAUCCAAAUAAAGUAGAACCUCUGGGGAGACUUUUUCAGGCACAAAAUGAGGGAAAGUGUAUGUUUUAUCACUAGACUACUCUAAUACAGGAAACACCUGUAUUAAAGGGACACUUUUUCAGUCCCAAAAAGUGUCCCCUUACCAGAGGUUCUUACUGUACCACUGGUAUUACUUGGGGUGAUAUUUGAUUCUAGGGAAAGGCUAGGUAUUUACAUCUUUGGCCAAUUUUUCAAGAUGUACACUGCACAAUUAUGUGGCACUUAGAUUCAAAUUUAGUAGUACAGUUCUUGUUUUUAUUAAUAAGAAAUUGAUAAAUAAUUGUCUUACAUUCAUAAUCUAGACAUGAUCUGUGCAUAACAUGAUGAAAUACAACCAUCGAAUGAGGUUGGAUAGAUAAAAUAUUGGAUAAGCACUCCAAAAUCAAACAAAUAGGAAUCAAAAAAUGUUUCUAAUUUGGAUUU